UAACUUUUCUUACCCAAAAAAAAAGAAAGAAAGACAAGAUAAUAAGAAGUGAAAAACUCUAUUAUACAUAUUCAUUUGAUCAAUUAUUUUCUCUAGGCCUCGGCAAUCGGCAUAAACCGAAUGAACCGAAAAUUUCGGUUAUCGGCACCGAAUGUGAGAGGGGAAUCAAACCGAUCGGCGAAAUUAUUUUGGUACUUCGGUUAUUGAUUCGGUUCGGUUCGGCGAGCUAUAACCGAUCGGUUUUUCUUAACCGAGAUAUAUAUUUCCCCAAAACUCUCAUUAACCCUAAUCCCCUUUAUUUCUUCUCCUCUCUUCUCCGUCUUCGACCUAAUGCCUCUCUCUCUGCGAAAAUUUCAUACCCAUGAAGGCGAAUAGCCGAGAAUUAGAAACUUCAAUCACUCAUCAUCAUCCUCUUCUCGUCUCUUCUUCAUACAACUCCUCUUCACCUCAAUUUUGAUGUAGAUAAUCAUCUCUUUAUUUGUCGAGUACAAAUCCUAAUCGGGAAUUCCAGUCUGAUAAUUGUAGGUCACAGAUCUCGUCCCGUAUAGAUUUCCUUAUCACAAGCUUCAUCGUCGGGUGUAGAUCUCAUGGCUAGCGAGACGAACGGCGGGUAACAAGUCUCCUGAGCACAGUUAUCGUCCGCCGUCGCAGUACCGUCACCGUCGCAGCGGCACCUCAUCCUUUUUGUCGAAACCCUAAUUGUAUAAUGGAUUUGGGCUUGUCAAUAGAUUAGAUUUAGGCUAUUAUCAGUAUUUUUAUUAGGCCCAUUAUUUUGUUAUCUAGGCCCGCUACUUUGUUGGGUAAGGUUUUGUUUAUCCAGCUUAAUUUUUUGUUAUUUUCAUCUAAUUCGGUUCGAAUUAACCGAAUUAAAAGUACAAUCGGUUAAUUUCGGAAUUGAUUUUUAA